AUCUUGAGAAAUUUCAUCGUGAUGGGGAUAGAUCAUUGCAAUUGUUGGUCUUCAACGAGGAAUGCCUAGUAAGCGCGAGUCAUCAGCUCGCGUUGACUACGUCCCUGCCCUUUGUACACACCGCCCGUCGCUCCUACCGAUUGAAUGGUCCGGUGAAGUGUUCGGAUCGCGGCGACGGGGGCGGUUCGCCGCCCCCGACNUCACGAGAAGUCCAUUGAACCUUAUCAUUUAGAGGAAGGAGAAGUCGUAACAAGGUUUCCGUAGGUGAACCUGCGGAAGGAUCAUUG
rnacentral:rRNA from 1 species